rnacentral:rRNA from 1 species
AAGAAAGUAAAUAAGGGCACACGGGGGAUGCCUAGGCUCCCAGAGGCGAGGAAGGACGCGACAAGCUGCGAUAAGCCGCGGGGAUCGGCACAUACGAAUAGAUCCGCGGGUUUCCGAAUGGGGCAACCCGGCAUGCUGGAGGCAUGCCACCGUAUAUCUGAGAUAUUCGGGGCGAACGCGCUGAACUGAAACAUCUAAGUAGGCGCAGGAGGAGAAAACAAGAGUGAUUCCGCAAGUAGUGGCGAGCGAACGCGGAGCAGCCCAAACCUGUUAUGUUACGGCAUGGCAGGGGUUGUAGGACUGCGAUAUUGUACCGUAUGAUGAACUGGAAGCAGGUGGGAAACUGCGCAUUACGGGUGAAAGCCCCUUACAGGCAAAGAAUAUGGACAUAGCAGUAUCCUGAGUAGCGCGGGACCGGAGAAAUCCUGCGUGAACCCGGCGGCACCAUCCGCCAAGGCUAAAUACUCCUGGGAGACCGAUAGUGGACCAGUACCGUGAGGGAAAGGUG